GACGUAGGGCGCGAGCGUUGUCCGGAUUUAUUGGGCGUAAAGAGCUCGUAGGCGGCUUGUCACGUCGGAUGUGAAAGCCCGAGGCUUAACCUCGGGUCUGCAUUCGAUACGGGCUAGCUAGAGUGUGGUAGGGGAGAUCGGAAUUCCUGGUGUAGCGGUGAAAUGCGCAGAUAUCAGGAGGAACACCGGUGGCGAAGGCGGAUCUCUAGGCCAUUACUGACGCUGAGGAGCGAAAGCGUGGGGAGCGAACAGG
rnacentral:rRNA from 1 species